CCUCGCAAGGGGAAACUGAGUGGCGAACGGGUGAGUAACACGUGGGUGACCUACCUUCGAGUGGGGGAUAACGUCCCGAAAGGGACGCUAAUACCGCAUGACAUCCCGCCUUUGAACAGGCGGUGAUCAAAGCCGGGGAUCGCAAGACCCGGCGCUUGAUGAGGGGCCCGCGUCCGAUUAGCUAGUUGGUGAGGUAAUGGCCCACCAAGGCAACGAUCGGUAUCCGGCCUGAGAGGGCGGACGGACACACUGGGACUGAGACACGGCCCAGACUCCUACGGGAGGCAGCAGUGGGGAAUUGUUCGCAAUGGGCGCAAGCCUGACGACGCAAUGCCGCGUGGAGGAUGAAGGUCUUCGGAUUGUAAACUCCUGUUGCCAGGGACGAAUGGCUUCGACCUAAUACGUCGAAGUAUGACGGUACCUGGUGAGGAAGCCCCGGCUAACUCUGUGCCAGCAGCCGCGGUAAUACAGAGGGGGCGAGCGUUGUUCGGAAUUACUGGGCGUAAAGGGCGCGUAGGCGGCCCGCUAAGUCGAACGUGAAAUCCCCAGGCUCAACCUGGGAACUGCGUCCGAUACUGGCAGGCUUGAAUCCGGGAGAGGGAUGUGGAAUUCCAGGUGUAGCGGUGAAAUGCGUAGAUAUCUGGAGGAACACCGGUGGCGAAGGCGGCAUCCUGGACCGGUAUUGACGCUGAGGCGCGAAAGCUAGGGGAGCAAACGGGAUUAGAUACCCCGGUAGUCCUAGCCCUAAACGAUGAAUGCUUGGUGUGGCGGGUAUCGAUCCCUGCCGUGCCGAAGCUAACGCA
rnacentral:rRNA from 1 species